ensembl:lncRNA
UGGUACUGGGAAGAGAAGAAGAGUGGUACUGGGAAGAGAGGAAGAGUGGUACUGGAAAGAGAGGAAGAGUGGUACUGGGAAGAGUGGUACUGGAAAGAGAGGAAGAGUGGUACUGGAAAGAGUGGAAGAGUGGUACUGGAAAGAGAAGAAGAGUGGUACUGGAAAGAGAGGAAGAGUGGUACUGGGAAGAGUGGAAGAGUGGUACUGGAAAGAGAAGAAGAGUGGUACUGGAAAGAGUGGUACUGGGAAGAGAGGAAGAGUGGUACUGGAAAGAGAGGAAGAGUGGUACUGGAAAGAGAGGAAGAGUGGUACUGGGAAGAGAGGAAGAGUGGUACUGGAAAGAGAAGAAGAGUGGUACUGGGAAGAGAAGAAGAGUGGUACUGGAAAGAGUGGUACUGGGAAGAGAGGAAGAGUGGUACUGGGAAGAGAAGAAGAGUGGUACUGGGAAGAGAAGAAGAGUGGUACUGGGAAGAGAGGAAGAGUGGUACUGGGAAGAGAGGAAGAGUGGUACUGGGAAGAGAGGAAGAGUGGUACUGGGAAGAGUGGUACUGGGAAGAGAGGAAGAGUGGUACUGGGAAGAGAGGAAGAGUGGUACUGGAAAGAGAGGAAGAGUGGUACUGGGAAGAGUGGUACUGGGAAGAGAGGAAGAGUGGUACUGGAAAGAGAAGAAGAGUGGUACUGGGAAGAGAAGAAGAGUGGUACUGGAAAGAGAGGAAGAGUGGUACUGGAAAGAGAAGAAGAGUGGUACUGGAAAGAGAAGAAGAGUGGUACUGGAAAGAGAGGAAGAGUGGUACUGGAAAGAGAGGAAGAGUGGUACUGGAAAGAGAAGAAGAGUGGUACUGGAAAGAGAAGAAGAGUGGUACUGGAAAGAGAAGAAGAGUGGUACUGGAAAGAGAGAGAGUGGUACUGGGAAGAGAGGAAGAGUGGUACUGGGAAGAGAGAGAGUGGUACUGGGAAG